AUUCGUUACACAUAGUCUGCAGAGCCCCAUUCAUACUGGAUAAAUUUUAGUCGCAUCCGGUCCGUCAAAUGUCUUAUGAUCUAUAGAGCCCUUUUGAUUUUUCUAUGGCAACAUUUGCUAUGCUGACGUCAUUGCCACGUCAUUACUGUCAGUCAGACAGAAAUAAAAGAAAAAUGGAUGCCGUUCAGACGUACACGCAUUAUUUGGAACUGAAAAUUACGUAAUUUAUCGACCUGCUGGCUUGUAUUUGUUAUAAAUCAUAAAAAAAUUAUGGAAAACAUCAUGAACAAUAAUGAAACAAACCGAACCUUUAGCUACAAUAAUAAAAUGACCCCAUGACGCCAGUGGAACUACGUGGUUUUCUUUCAUGAUGAUUUGGUGAUACCAUAAUGGAAUUAGCCAAGUUUUCGCCGUAUUGGGUGCUAGAUGCCCCUUGGAGUUAAGCCCCAGUGCCACUAUACUACCUUACCAGUUAUGUGUGGGUGUUGUAGUCCUAAGACACCCCGGAGGUACAAAGGGCCUUCACAAACUCACGCCACGCCUUCCUAUCUUCAGCAACCCUCGUGACCUCGCUCCACCAGCUCAAACCUGCCACUCACAGCUCCUUUUCGACGGACCGCUUCC
rnacentral:lncRNA from 1 species